AUUGAACGCUGGCGGCAGGCUUAACACAUGCAAGUCGAGCGAGCGGCGGACGGGUGAGUAAUGUCUGGGCACCUGCCUAAUGGAGGGGGAUAACUACUGGAACCGGUAGCUACUACCGCAUACCAUCAGAUGUGCCCCGAUGGGAUUAGCUAGUCGGUGGGGUAAUGGCUCACCUCGGCGACGAUCCCUACCUGGUCUGAGAGGAUGACCAGCCACACUGGAACUGAGACACGGUCCAGACUCCUACGGGAGGCAGCAGUGGGGAAUAGUGCACAAGGGGCGCAAGCCUGAUGCAGCCAUGCCGCGUGUGUGAAGAAGGCCUUCGGGUUGGAAAGCACUUUCAGCGAGGAGGCGGUACUCGAAGAAGAAGCACCGGCUAACUCCGUGCCAGCAGCCGCGGUAAUUC
rnacentral:rRNA from 1 species